rnacentral:lncRNA from 1 species
GGCUGAUACAGGGGGAGAGGGGAAAUCGGAGUGGGUGUGGAUGUUCCUCGCAGGGCCCCGCGGGGUAACCUAUGCCCAACUCAUUCCCAAGUGGGCUCCGAGGCAGGCGCUGUUGGGUCUCUUGGGACCGAAGCCGCCUGCAGGGUGGUCUGAGGCAAGUCUCCCACCUCUGUAGACAGGCGGGCCCUCCGGGAGCUUCCGGUCCGGUUAGGAGCCACGUGGAUGUAAGAAUCUGAGAAGUGAACGUUAGUGCUGUGCUGGGAGGCUGAAAUGUUGGGAACUAGACCUGGGCAGGGAGGUCAGGGAUGGUCUCCCAAGGAAGUCACCUCUGUUGAGAUCUGAGUGACCGGCAGCAGCGCGCCAGAUGAGGAGGAAGGGAAGUGCAGCCCUGGGAACAGAGGAGGAUGGUGGCUAGGCCAGAAGGUUGAGCGGGCUGGGGCAUGGCCGGAAUGGGAGCGAGGCGGUUCCCCGCGAGGCCUCGCAGACCUCGCCGAGAGCAAGGGAUACAGAAGAAAAUUUAUUGUAUUGGCAGAUUGGAUGAGAAGUUAAUACGUGAAGAUGGUCUUCUCUUCAUUCCAUUUGAUAUUGAGUCCCUCGUCAUGCCCACAUAUUUGAACAUGGAUUGCUAUGGAAGAACAGCCAUGAGUCAGCUUGCUGAGUCUGAUUGGUCCAAGGGCUUCCUGGCACACUGAACCCCAGUCAUGUAGAACCCCAGCUCUGUAGAAGAGGAGCAGCUAUCACAGCAGUUUGAGUAAUUGCAGACAAAGGUGAAGCAAGAAGAGAACAAUAUCAACAACAACUAGCAAUGAUAAAAAACAACCUACAUUUACCUGGCACUUUUUUUUUUUUCUUUUUCUUUUUUUUUUUUUUGAUGGAGUUUCGCUCUUGUUGUCCAGGCUGGAGUGCAAUGGUACUAUCUUGGCUCAUUGCAACCUCCGCCUCCCGGGUUCAAGCGAUUCUCUUGCCUCAGCCUCCUGAGUAGCUGGGAUUACAGCUGCCCACCACCACGCCCGGCUAAUUUUUGUAUUUUUAGUAGAGAUGGAUUUUCGUCAUGUUGGCCAGGCUGGUCUCGAACUCCUGACCUCAGGGGAUCUGCCCACCUCAGCCUCCCAAAGUGCUGGGAUUACAGGCAUGAGUCACUGCGCCUAACCUAUCUGGCACCUUUAUGACCUGGGAAGUUUUGCAGUUUUAUUCUCUGUUAAAUGCAUAUCUGUU